UUAAAUUAUUCAUGAUAUUUCUGCGUUAGCGAGGAUCUCAGCCUUGUCUUAACUGACUUCAAUUUCGAGAACUAUAGUUUUUCACACGAGCAUGCAUGCAUUGUUUCAUCAAUAAAAUUUUCUUUUGUGAAAAAAAUUUCCUAAGACACGCCUACAAGUCGAUAUUUUAGUGACGAUUUGUUUCGCUGACAAAUUGUUGGCCGGACUAUAUAGCUUACAAUCGGAUGGGACAAGAGUCUUCAAAUUGUAAAGUUUUUUUUAUUUGUUCAGUAUAAAGCAUAACGAUUUUUUUCUUUAUAUACAGAUCAUAUUCCGUGCCCGUGUGGUUGGGAGAAAAUCAUCAACAGAUGUUACCUGUUUGUGAACAAAACGGUCACUUGGGACACAGCUCGCGCAGAUUGUCUAAAACGUGGCGGAGAUCUAGUCAUUCCUACCAGUAACAAAGAAUGCGAUCUUCUCAGUGAGCGUGCUAAAAGCCUUGGAAUGAAUAUUCCGUGGAUUGGUGCCCAGAGGUACAUGAUCUCAAUUAUGUAUAGGGUGUAUAAAAAGGGUUAUCUAACUUUGACAUGUUAUCGUGUGAUUGCAUGUAUAUAUAAAUCAGAAAAAAAGUUGUGUAGUGGAAAUCGGCCCUAAAAUUAAAG